GGUAGUCCUGGCCGUAAACGGUGCGAACUAGGUGUGGGGACCUUCACGGUCUCCGUGCCGAAGCUAACGCAUUAAGUUCGCCGCCUGGGGAGUACGGCCGCAAGGCUAAAACUCAAAGGAAUUGACGGGGGCCCGCACAAGCAGCGGAGCGUGUGGUUUAAUUCGACGCAACGCGAAGAACCUUACCUGGGCUUGACAUGCACGUGGUACGACCUCGAAAGGGGGAGACCCGCAAGGGGAGCGUGCGCAGGUGCUGCACGGCUGUCGUCAGCUCGUGCCGUGAGGUGUUGGGUUAAG
rnacentral:rRNA from 1 species